GGCUUCAGAAGACAGUUUCCAGAAAUCAUCUUUGCCAUUGUUACCAGUGGAGAAGAAAUGGGAGUUGGAAUAUGGGUGGGUAAUGAUGGGUUUAGGGGAAAUGGGGGGUUUAAGGUUUAAGAGGGAUUGGGUUUUAUGGAAACUAGGGUUAACAGCCGGAGAUGUGACGAUUUUGAGAUCAGACGAGACAGCAUUGUGGAGACAUUUAGAG